AUGAUUGAAGCGCCAGAACCCUAUGGGUUGACGAGGAAUGGAGUCAUCGAAACCAUCGGCGGAUACUCCAGAGGUAUCACAGCCUCAGGCACAGACAAAAACGCGGUGUGAGCUGCGGAACAAAACUGUG
rnacentral:ncRNA from 1 species